rnacentral:lncRNA from 1 species
CUGAUGUUGUCUUUCGAGGAAGUUAAGGCACAGCUUUGGAAGACGAGAAGGAGAAACCUGCCUCAUGGAUCAACCCUUUCUUCUUUGCAAAGCCCAUUGUCACAGUGAUUGGCUUACUGCAUGCAGGCAGAAUGAGCAGGGAGACAGACCUAAUACUGACCCUCCUUGAGUAAGUGGAUGACUGCAGAGCUGGGAUGGAAAUCGAGGCACAGAGAAGGAAUGGCUAAUUUCCCUGCAGCUGGUGUUGUGAGGAGCAUGCCUUGGCAAGUGCUGUGCUCAGCUGUGUUCCAGCCUCAGAUCACCCUGCAGGCACUGGUUCUGCUGGGCCCCUCUGCUGGCUCUCCAGGCCCCUCACCCACAGCCACCUGCUGAGCUUUGCUGGAAUGCUUUCACGUGCGUGAACCAGAUUCAGAGAUGCUGAGGGGAAGAAAGAUGGAGAAGGGACGCCUACAUUACAACUAUGACGACACGUGUUUGUAGGUAUCAAGGCAGGUCUGGGGAAGUUCUGUGCAGAUAUAUUUAACUUUGUCCUUGUAAUUUCAGGGUCCCUAGAUAAAAUGCUUAUAAGAGCCCAGGUCUCAGAGCCAGGGAGCUGGGAGGCCUGUGGUUCCUCUUCCAGAGCAGGCAGCUGGACUUGAACAAGGACAAGGAGCGCAGAAUGUUUUUCCUUAUGUGAGAACGAGAGAGUCCCUGGGAGCUCCCUGUGCCUCGGCUGGCUGGCUGACGUCCGACACACCAGAAAGAUCGCCAGAAAAGCGAUCUGAUGGGCCAACAGAGAGAGCAGGCCCACUUUCAAUGUUAGGGUUUCAAUGUUGAAACCAGAUGUCUCGAGGGCUCACACAUCCACAGAGCAUCCAGCGAUGUGUGUACACACACGGGGUGAUCUCCCAAGGCGCUUCCGUCCACUCACUCCGUGGCUGCCACAGAGGAAGAGGUAAGAGCACUUCCAUGGCUGGCAUAUUGCAGUAGAAAUCACGACUGGAUGUCAAGGCCAGGGUCAUUGCCAGCUCUCUUUACUACUCAGUGACCCAAAAGACUCCACUGAACUCAAGUUCGGCCUGCACAGUGCUAAACUCUCCAGAUGUUCCCAAGUAUGAAGAUUUAAACCAUGUUGACACAGUGUACUUUCAAUAUC